GUAAAUUUUUAAAUCUACUUGUCAAUUUCUUCCAAAAGCCUAUUGGUUUUUACGCUUCUCAGAGCCAGGAGCAUCCCAGAUGCAGAGUCCAGAACUGGGAGGAUGUGGUACUGAGGGAGCCCAGAGCGGAUGGAAUAACAAGGAAGGGAUUUGCCUUCCUGCUUGAAGCAUCUAACGAAUCUGACAAAGUAUAUUAAAGAAAGUGUCUCAAGACACUGGACAUCAGCUUAAAGGAAGACCCAAUAGGAUAAAAUUGUUUUCAAGUCACUUAACUGCAUCCUAGAAUGAACUCAAGUAUAUUUAUAGGAAUACAAUAAUGUACAGCCCUCAACAAGAGAAAUUUCACGAAGCUUGGCACACAUUCAAGAAUAACGAGGCAUGCAAAGAAGUAGGACAAAUGCAACCAUAAUACAGAGAAAAGCCAAUCAAACAGACCCAGUAAUGACACUGAUGAUGGAGUUAGUAGACAAGGCCAUUAAAACAGUCAUUAUAACUGCGUUCCAUAUGUUUGAGAAACUUGAACGUGAUAAGUAGAGACAUGGAAGAUAAUUUUGUUGCCUGGGCUUACCCUUCAGACUCUGCUUCUUGAACAGUGUCAGUGGCUGUAAUCUCAGUUCAGAUCUUUCAUCUUUAACUGAGCUGCUUUGAGUCUUCUGCAUAGGUGUGGUUUGAGAGUCGGUCAGACUGGGUACACAGAAUGGCCCCCACCACCGCAAUUCUCUUCAGUGUUCAUAGUAGUCCAGCUUCAAUUUUCUGGUUCCCCAGGCCAGAAAGAAGGGAUGCUUGUUUGUCCACAUGCACCCCAACAGCUGCUGUGUGCACUAUAUGGAGCCACAGAGAUGGGACCUUUCCUGGGCAACUUCUCAUCUCCCCUGUCCAGGUACACUGGAACCAACUGGAAGAGCACUAAAUUGUCAAAGCUGGAACAUUUUGAGCAACAAAAUAAAUAAAGUAGUAUAGAGUGAUAGCCUAAUGUGUAAA
rnacentral:lncRNA from 10 species